UUAGCAACAGCUGGAACCCAGAUGCCUUACUGUCCUACUGAGCUUGCCUGUUGUGAUGGAGUAGAAUUGAUUCAGGUGGAAAUAUUUAAGAGGAAAAUUUGUUCUCUCUCUUUUUAAAGAGUCCUCUAGAUUUUUUUCUUAUAGAUAAUCUGCUCACAUCUGUGAAUGUGUUUCACUUCUCAUUUGAGCAUUCUUUUGGAGACUAUACUAUUCAUACCAACAGAAUUGCUCCAUUAUAUAGCUUGGUGGAGAGGAGUAGAUCUAGUAUUCAUAAAGUCUGUUGAGGUUGCCAUGUAUUUUUAUUCCCAAAGGUCAAAAAACCAGUUAACCUGUUUCCUUCAGGUCACUGGCAUAGAAACAAACAGCAGUGUUCACAUUUUCUGAAGAAUUAAGACUGUUCUGAAACAAAUGACCUGUGUUUCAGUGUUACAUUGUAGGCUAAGGACUAUGCUAUUCCUUGUGGCAGCAUUAAGGGGAAAGAAACUCUCUAGCUUUUAAGAUGUGUCUUUUAGACUUAAAAUGCCUGUUAUCUUUCCCUGAAGAUACAAUGGCAACAAAAACAAAUACUGAAGUGUUUCAUGCUGUAUUUACACAGCCUGUGGGUGCAUUUCUUCUGUUCCAGUGUAACUCUUGUAUAAUAGAAAGAUGAUUAGAAAAACCUUUUCUAAAAAGUCAGCUUGUCUUGGCAGAGUCUGACAAGCUGUCUUUUGCAUCAGGGUACCACAGAUGUGAGACACCAAUCAUGGACUGUCAGGAUGGAGUACUACACAGGUCCAGCCUUGUUCCUUGGGAUGCUGAGGUACAUGGUUGCACAUGUCAUCUUCAAGACAGAAAGACAAGAUCCAGCUGUCAGUUUUUCCCAACAAGAAGAGAAGAGUUUAAAGUAAAAACAGUUAUGAAGCAAGAAUGCUAUAGGAAUAAUAAUAAAGAAAGACCAGUCAGGUAUUUGUGCUUUGAUCUAAACUGUAUGAAUGGCAAAAGUGUGACAGGAUGAUUUCUGAGAUAUUAAAAAGUUCUUACCUUGUAACAAUGUUCAUUCUUCAUUCUUCUAGUUGUCUUGAAAAAUAUCUCCUAGAAAGUCACCACUGAUGAUUAAAUCUCAGUUCAAAUAUUUGAAGUGUACCUUCAGUAUAAAAUCAAUAAAAUAUGCCCACUUAUUUUUUAAUAAAUUUUU
rnacentral:lncRNA from 1 species